rnacentral:rRNA from 1 species
UACGGAGGAGCUAGCGUUGUUCGGAUAUACUGGGCGUAAAGCGCACGUAGCGGCGCCGUAAGUCAGGGGUGAAAUCCCGGAGCUCAACUCCGGAACUGCCCUUGAAACUGCAGUGCUAGAAUCUUGGAGAGGCGAGUGGAAUUCCGAGUGUAGAGGGUGAAAUUGUAGAUAUUGGAAGAACACCAGUGGCGAAGGCGACUCGCUGGACAAGUAUUGA